rnacentral:lncRNA from 1 species
GGGUGGAUGGAUCACUUGAGGCCAGGAGUUCAAGACCAACCUGGCCAACAUAGCAAAACCCCAUCUCUACUAAAAAUAAAAAAAUUAGCCCACUGUGGUGGUGCACACCUGCAGUCCCAGCUACUUGGGAGGCUGAGGCGGAAGGAUUGUUUGAACCCGGGAGGUGGAGGUUGCAGUGAGCCUAGAUCAGGCCACUGCACUCCAGCCUGGGUGACAGAGCGAGACUCUGUCUCAAAACAACAACAACAACAACAACAAAAACUAUUGUCAUCGCGCUGGUAGUGUCUGAUAGAUUAACAAAGAUGAGUUUAUUUCAUUCAGCAAUGAACUGUGUGUUCCCCAUGAAAUAACAAAGACAAUUGUAUUUUCCCAAUAAGUGAAUGGGAGCAUAAAAAGUAAUAUGCUGUUUAAAGUAAAAUAUUGAACAAAUUAAAAAUUAUCAAAUGCCAAGAAACUCCAGGCUUUCACCCAGUUGAAACUAAUACACCCUAAAAAGAAAAAGAGACUAGAUUUCAUGGGAGAAACAACAUUUUUAGGACACGGGAGUGGAACAUGGAUUGCGUCCCAACAGUGUUUCCACGCUGGAGUCUGCAGAAGAGUUGAUGCUCGCUGUGGUGCUAUGGAAAACAGUAUGUUGGCUCUGAAAAGGUCGAGAAGGCUCCUGUAACCCAAAGGUAAACACUUCGCUGCAGGAUUGCUGUAAGCCUUCAGCGUGCUAAUGAGCAUAGUCAAGCUGAGGGAGGUAAACGGAAUAUACCGUUUCCAGAUUUGUUUGACUGCAAGGAUCCUUUGCAUGUGAGUAGUAGUGACAGCGGGGAAGCCAUCUGUUGAUGGAUCCCAGAAGACCGUUCAACAGAACCGAGUUUAGGAAAUUCUGCAUUGGACUCAUGCCAGUCCCAGAGGGUACAGGACGAUGCAGUCUCUCGGAAUCACUGGGCAUGGUCUUCCCAGAUCUGCUAGAAGAUGACAAGACCUCACCUGGAACAAGAUCUGGCCUGAAGCAAGACCUGCAGUUUCCCAGGAGGGAACAGCCACAGUCAGCCUCGAACAUCCCCACUUCCUGCUGCUCUCACCCGCUCUAUCAGGAAGUGAAUGCGACCUCAGAGCCAUUUGGCCUCAAUUUGAGGUGCCCCUGGCAAUGUGCUGUGCAAACUGCAAUCCGCUUACUCCAAGGAAUAGAAUCACACUGUUGUGUGGAGGCCUCAUCGCUGCUGUUCCCCGACCCGAACUCCCAAUAUUCCAGAGACCCAGGACCUAUGGACUGUGAAAUUAGGAGCCAAAACAGACACACCACUCAGAGCAGAGCCGUGCUGGAGGCUGGAGAAGUGUUGGGAUUUGCAGACAUUUAAAAACUAAACAAUUAAAAUCAUCUGCAAUGGGUGUGUUAUGAAUAAAAUCAUGGAUUCACUGUAAAUUUUUUUCUAAAUACAAAACAGAUUCAGGCACACUGUGUGUUCCUGGUCCAAGCCGACCUUCCAGUUGGUCUCUCCAAGGUCGGCGCCCCCUCCUCCUGCCUGUUUCCACAAAAGCUUUAGCUGUUACGCCCAAAUGCUGGCCACAUCUCCUCACUCACCUGAUGAAACUGAAUAACCAUUUCCUCAGAAGUUAUGUGCAACACACAUUACAACCAGGGGAUUUUACAUGUAGAGCUUCCUUAUUUUAACCUCACACCAUCACAUUAUCAGGGGUAGAGUCAGAAGGAGGCCGACAUUUCCAUUAGAUUGGAACUCACAGGGUCAGGCUCUCAGAGGUGGAAGGGACGUCAGAAGGCUACUUCUCAGAGGGUCCGUUGUACAGAGAGGAAGCCAAGAUCAUGUGGGGGACCCACCCGAGCUGUGGUGAUGGGGUGGUCUGUUACUGGGCCACGAACCCAGAUCUUCAGACUCCAAGACCAGGUCUCGUCUUUGGAGAUUACAUGAACCCUUUCUUCAAUCCACAUGAAAACUAGGUCACAAAACACAGGUUAAGAAACAUUUCUGAUGUGUCCUCUAUUGCUUAGGAUGACUCCAGUUGGAGAAGGCACUCUACUCUGUUUAUGGAAAAUCACCUCCUCAGAAACUUUUUUUUUUUUAGCCAUCAUCAUGUGCUUAUGGAAAAACAUCAUUCAAUAAUAAACACCAGAAUAGACACUCGGGAGCAAACCAGAGUUCUUUGUUUUGUUUUUGGUUUUCAUUUUCUUUUGUUAUAUAAAGAGGAUUUUCAUUCUUGCCACCCUCAUAAACUGUGUUCAAACUUUUCGUCUCUAGCUGCGUGUCUCUGAGCUAAAGACAACUGCUGCCUA